rnacentral:rRNA from 1 species
UACGGGGGGGGCAAGCGUUGUUCGGAAUUACUGGGCGUAAAGGGCUCGUAGGUGGCCAACUAAGUCAGACGUGAAAUCCCUCGGCUUAACCGGGGAACUGCGUCUGAUACUGGAUGGCUUGAGUUCGGGAGAGGGAUGCGGAAUUCCAGGUGUAGCGGUGAAAUGCGUAGAUAUCUGGAGGAACACCAGCGGUGUAGACGGCUUUCUGGACCAUUGCUGACGCUGAGACACGAAAGCGUGGGUAGCAAACAGG